rnacentral:rRNA from 1 species
GAUGAACGCUGGCGGCGUGCCUAAUACAUGCAAGUCGAGCGAACGGACGAGAAGCUUGCUUCUCUGAUGUUAGCGGCGGACGGGUGAGUAACACGUGGAUAACCUACCUAUAAGACUGGGAUAACUUCGGGAAACCGGAGCUAAUACCGGAUAAUAUUUUGAACCGCAUGGUUCAAAAGUGAAAGACGGUCUUGCUGUCACUUAUAGAUGGAUCCGCGCUGCAUUAGCUAGUUGGUAAGGUAACGGCUUACCAAGGCAACGAUGCAUAGCCGACCUGAGAGGGUGAUAGGCCACACUGGAACUGAGAAACGGUCCAGACUCCUACGGGAGGCAGCAGUAGGGAAUCUUCCGCAAUGGGCGAAAGCCUGACGGAGCAACGCCGCGUGAGUGAUGAAGGUCUUCGGAUCGUAAAACUCUGUUAUUAGGGAAGAACAUAUGUGUAAGUAACUGUGCACAUCUUGACGGUACCUAAUCAGAAAGCCACGGCUAACUACGU